AAAAGGAAGGAGGAGUGCUCUGGGCGGGGAGUGGAGAAACAAAAAUCUGGGCGCAUUUAGAGCAUCAGGUCCUGGGGGUGUUGUUCAGCUGCAGUGCGCUCUUAAUUCAGGCGGACCCUGCCUGAGUUGAGUUUCUCAGCAGAUUGUCAGUCCCUGUUGGAGCAGACUGCCAUCUAGACCUGACUCCUGAGUUUAAAAUGCAAUGGCCAGAAGACAAGAAAGUAUCUGUGGAAGGCCGUGGACGUGGACGCCGGGACUACUGAUGCUGAUCAUCCUUGGCAUUCAUCAGGGGAGUGGGCAAGGUCAAGAAUUGGCUUUCUAAGUCAUAACCUGAAAAGUGUUGUGCUGAAUACUGAAGAAUGGAGGAGUCUUCCUGAGAGGAGCCAUGUUCUUAACAGAAAGUCAGAUGCUAAAUAUAAGCAGAUAUGG
rnacentral:lncRNA from 1 species